rnacentral:rRNA from 1 species
CAGCAGCCACGGUAAUACGUAGGUGGCAAGCGUUGUCCGGAAUUAUUGGGCGUAAAGGGCUCGCAGGCGGUUUCUUAAGUCUGAUGUGAAAGCCCCCGGUUCAACCGGGGAGGGUCAUUGGAAACUGGGAAACUUGAGUGCAGAAGAGGAGAGUGGAAUUCCACGUGUAGCGGUGAAAUGCGUAGAGAUGUGGAGGAACACCAGUGGCGAAGGCGACUCUCUGGUCUGUAACUGACGCUGAGGAGCGAAAGCGUGGGGAGCGAACAGGAUUAGAUACCCCAGUAGUCCCUGUCUCUUAUAC